CGGCGUGCCUAAUACAUGCAAGUCGAGCGGACAGAUGGGAGCUUGCUCCCUGAUGUUAGCGGCGGACGGGUGAGUAACACGUGGGUAACCUGCCUGUAAGACUGGGAUAACUCCGGGAAACCGGGGCUAAUACCGGAUGGUUGUUUGAACCGCAUGGUUCAAACAUAAAAGGUGGCUUCGGCUACCACUUACAGAUGGACCCGCGGCGCAUUAGCUAGUUGGUGAGGUAACGGCUCACCAAGGCGACGAUGCGUAGCCGACCUGAGAGGGUGAUCGGCCACACUGGGACUGAGACACGGCCCAGACUCCUACGGGAGGCAGCAGUAGGGAAUCUUCCGCAAUGGACGAAAGUCUGACGGAGCAACGCCGCGUGAGUGAUGAAGGUUUUCGGAUCGUAAAGCUCUGUUGUUAGGGAAGAACAAGUACCGUUCGAAUAGGGCGGUACCUUGACGGUACCUAACCAGAAAGCCACGGCUAACUACGUGCCAGCAGCCGCGGUAAUACGUAGGUGGCAAGCGUUGUCCGGAAUUAUUGGGCGUAAAGGGCUCGCAGGCGGUUUCUUAAGUCUGAUGUGAAAGCCCCCGGCUCAACCGGGGAGGGUCAUUGGAAACUGGGGAACUUGAGUGCAGAAGAGGAGAGUGGAAUUCCACGUGUAGCGGUGAAAUGCGUAGAGAUGUGGAGGAACACCAGUGGCGAAGGCGACUCUCUGGUCUGUAACUGACGCUGAGGAGCGAAAGCGUGGGGAGCGAACAGGAUUAGAUACCCUGGUAGUCCACGCCGUAAACGAUGAGUGCUAAGUGUUAGGGGGUUUCCGCCCCUUAGUGCUGCAGCUAACGCAUUAAGCACUCCGCCUGGGGAGUACGGUCGCAAGACUGAAACUCAAAGGAAU
rnacentral:rRNA from 2 species